AUUCUGGGCGGUACAGCCUCUUCCGAGACAUGGGUCUCAAGAGCAGAGAAAGCAUGGAUCCCCAAAUGAAAAUGCAGGUAUGUGGCUAGAGGAAGGGGGAGAGAGGCAGGGAGGCAGCCUGCAAAAAGCCACUACCAAUGUCACUCCGACAUCUGUAUCCCGUCAAAGUGAUUCCAUUUGCUUUCCUCCUUUUGUGGUUUCUUCUUUUCUGCCACACAUGGGAUUCCCUCUCGGCAAAACCAGGACUCUCGCUUCCGGGUUGUAUUCGCUUUUUGCAGAUACAUGGAUGCAUGUCCUUUCAGAUUAUCUCAAUUUUACCUUUGCUGAUUUGGAUAAUUUUUCAAAUAUGCUUCCGCAGUUGCACAAGAUUCAAUAAAACUGGAGCCAUCGUUCAUCAUGAUGUGUGGAUUAAAGAGACAGAGCGUGAGUAGGGGAGGGGCAUAGAGAGAGGAAGACAUAGAAUCCGAAACAGACUCCAGGGCUCUGAGCUGUCAGUACAGAGCCCAACGCGGGGCCUGAACUCACGGACAGCGAGAUCAUGACCUGAGCCGAAGUCGGACGCUCAGCCUACUGAACCACCCAGGCGCCCCUUGCAAUACUGUAUUUGAAAGAAGGAACUAAUGACUGAUCAUUUCAAAGUUAUCCAAAACAAGCAUUGAUUUCUCAGGUACCUGGUUGGUAGCAGAUGACUCUAGCUGAUUUCUAGAAAUAGCUAGAUUUCUAUUAAUGGCUGUUCAUUUGAUGAUUCUUAUUGUCACACUAGCAACUUGUGCUUUUCAUGGUUUUCUU